GACGAACUCUGGCGGCGUGCUUAACACAUGCAAGUCGAACGGAAAGGCCCUGCUUUUGUGGGGUGCUCGAGUGGCGAACGGGUGAGUAACACGUGAGUAACCUGCCCUUGACUUUGGGAUAACUUCAGGAAACUGGGGCUAAUACCGGAUAGAAGCUCCUGCUGCAUGGUGGGGGUUGGAAAGUUUCGGCGGUUGGGGAUGGACUCGCGGCUUAUCAGCUUGUUGGUGGGGUAGUGGCUUACCAAGGCUUUGACGGGUAGCCGGCCUGAGAGGGUGACCGGCCACAUUGGGACUGAGAUACGGCCCAGACUCCUACGGGAGGCAGCAGUGGGGAAUAUUGCACAAUGGGCGGAAGCCUGAUGCAGCAACGCCGCGUGCGGGAUGACGGCCUUCGGGUUGUAAACCGCUUUCGCCUGUGACGAAGCGUGAGUGACGGUAAUGGGUAAAGAAGCACCGGCUAACUACGUGCCAGCAGCCGCGGUGAUACGUAGGGUGCGAGCGUUGUCCGGAUUUAUUGGGCGUAAAGGGCUCGUAGGUGGUUGAUCGCGUCGGAAGUGUAGUCUUGGGGCUUAACCCUGAGCGUGCUUUCGAUACGGGUUGACUUGAGGAAGGUAGGGGAGAAUGGAAUUCCUGGUGGAGCGGUGGAAUGCGCAGAUAUCAGGAGGAACACCAGUGGCGAAGGCGGUUCUCUGGGCCUUUCCUGACGCUGAGGAGCGAAAGCGUGGGGAGCGAACAGGCUUAGAUACCCUGGUAGUCCACGCUGUAAACGGUGGGUACUAGGUGUGGGGUCCAUUCCACGGGUUCCGUGCCGUAGCUAACGCUUUAAGUACCCCGCCUGGGGAGUACGGCCGCAAGGCUAAAACUCAAAGGAAUUGACGGGGCCCCGCACAAGCGGCGGAGCAUGCGGAUUAAUUCGAUGCAACGCGUAGAACCUUACCUGGGUUUGACAUGGAUCGGGAGUGCUCAGAGAUGGGUGUGCCUCUUUUGGGGUCGGUUCACAGGUGGUGCAUGCCUGUCGUCAGCUCGUGUCGUGAGAUGUUGGGUUAAGUCCCGCAACGAGCGCAACCCUUGUUCACUGUUGCCAGCACGUUAUGGUGGGGACUCAGUGGAGACCGCCGGGGUCAACUCGGAGGAAGGUGGGGAUGACGUCAAGUCAUCAUGCCCCUUAUGUCCAGGGCUUCACGCAUGCUACAAUGGCUGGUACAGAGAGUGGCGAGCCUGUGAGGGUGAGCGAAUCUCGGAAAGCCGGUCUCAGUUCGGAUUGGGGUCUGCAACUCGACCUCAUGAAGUCGGAGUCGCUAGUAAUCGCAAAUCAGCAACGCUGCGGUGAAUACGUUCCCGGG
rnacentral:rRNA from 1 species